AAUGAACGCUGGCGGCAUGCCUAACACAUGCAAGUCGAACGAGACCUUCGGGUCUAGUGGCGCACGGGUGCGUAACGCGUGGGAAUCUGCCCUUGGGUUCGGGAAUAACAGUUAGAAAUAGACUGCUAAUACCGAAUGAUGUCGUAAGACCAAAGAUUUAUCGCCCAGGGAUGAGCCCGCGUAAGAUUAGGUAGUUGGUGUGGUAAGGCGCACCAAGCCGACGAUCUUUAGCUGGUCUGAGAGGAUGAUCAGCCACACUGGGAC
rnacentral:rRNA from 1 species